rnacentral:rRNA from 1 species
GAUGAACGCUGGCGGCGUGCCUAAUACAUGCAAGUCGAGCGAACGGACGAGAAGCUUGCUUCUCUGAUGUUAGCGGCGGACGGGUGAGUAACACGUGGAUAACCUACCUAUAAGACUGGGAUAACUUCGGGAAACCGGAGCUAAUACCGGAUAAUAUUUUGAACCGCAUGGUUCAAAAGUGAAAGACGGUCUUGCUGUCACUUAUAGAUGGAUCCGCGCCGCAUUAGCUAGUUGGUAAGGUAACGGCUUACCAAGGCAACGAUGCAUAGCCGACCUGAGAGGGUGAUCGGCCACACGGGAACUUAGACACGGUCCAGACUCCUACGGGAGGCAGCAGUAGGGAAUCUUCCGCAAUGGGCGAAAGCCUGACGGAGCAACGCCGCGUGAGUGAUGAAGGUCUUCGGAUCGUAAAACUCUGUUAUUAGGGAAGAACAUAUGUGUAAGUAACUGUGCACAUCUUGACGGUACCUAAUCAGAAAGCCACGGCUAACUACGUG